rnacentral:lncRNA from 1 species
GGCUCCUAAGCGACAGUAGCUUAUGGACUUACUCUGGAUUUCAUUUACCAUGCUCAAAGCUAGCAAGCAAGCAUGUUCUCUUUUAAAAGAAUGUGAAAUUCAAAGUUGAAGAAAAUAUGACCAUCCUCCCCCUGAUUUUAAGAGAUGCAAAAUAAAACUAAAGCUAAGGAGUUCACGCCUAAGCAUAACUGACUUCCAGCCAAUUCCUAAUACCUAUUUAAAAUCCGGCAGGUCUGCACAUCUGUAUACUUUAUUCCACAUUGGUGAAAGUCUGGAAAGUUGGUGAAAGUUCGUUAAAGUAAAAUUAGAAAAUCUAACCUUCAAAGUAAGUAGAGAAGGUGUUUCCUUGAUGUGAUGCAUGUGCUUGUAAGAAGGAGCUGGUCUUCUAAAUAGUCACUACUCUGAGUUCAUGGCUACAUUAUAAUCAUUACAGAAAUUAAAUAUUUAGGUACCAAGAUUAUCAACUGCUCUAAUGCAGCUAGUACUUGCACUAUUUGUGAUGGUAGGGAGUAUUUUAAUUAAGAAAAGUCAGACUUCUGAGGAUUAAAUCAUCUGUCACUUACCUUCCAAAAUGGCAACUAGCCAACUGAGAACAAACUUCCCUAAAUAAAAGGGAAAAAAAAGAUGUCUAGGGAAUUCUUCCUUCUGAAGCCAGGAAGCAAAUGGAAGACCAUGGGGGAGGCAGAGGAACAGCAGAAAGAAGUGACAAACCAGAAAGCUCACAUUUUCACUUCACCUAUCUCAUUCCUGCUGUUUACACUUAGGAUGUGAUUUUAUGGAGUACUCUGUUCUCAAAGAAUUUUACCAAUCCGGACAACACUGGACCCAGAGAGAGUGCUGAAACCAGAGGCCACAUAAAACUGGAAGAGUGCAGAUGGGAUGGCAGAAGCUUAUCAAGAGACAGAAGCUUGUUUAAAAAAUGUUUUUAGAAGACAGUAUGUUACCAUAUAGCAACAAAAGCUAUAAAAAGAAUGCUGACUGUCCAGUAGAAAGGUCAGCAGGCAAUGCGGCAGCAUGGUACCAUUCAAGAAGCACCAGCCUAGGAGACAGAGGACAAGGGACAAGGAAUUUUCCCUUUAUUGCUGCAAGAUAUUGGAAAUUUAUUCAAGGUUUUGGCUUUUUAUGAAUCUGAAUUUGUGGCACCGGAUCUAACUAGAGGAUUUAAUAAAGGUGAGUAUCAUGUACA